rnacentral:lncRNA from 1 species
UUAAUAAUGUUUAUAAUCAAAUAGACAAGUUUAAUUAGGCUUAUACUAUGAUCUAGGAUCAUUAGAAGUUAAGGAAGAGGUCUAGAACGAGUUCUGGGGUGUUGAGUGCUUGAAAUUUGCAGAAUUUCAUUCUGUAGAUUAUGCAGAGUCGCAUAGCGCACCCUGUGCGCUAUGCAAAUUUUAGCUAAAAGGCUUCCCCGUCAGGAAAAUUCGCUCAGCACACCAAGGGUGGUGCGUUGUGCGAAUCUUUGUUGUCAUGCCUUGCCUCCCCCUUCAGGAAAAUUCGCUCAACGCACCAAGGGUGAUGCGCUGUGCGAAUUUUUGCUGUCUUGCCUUGCACCCUGGUGCGCUGUGCAACGCAUUUCAGUGAGCUUCACACUUUUCCUCAUCUGUUUGAGCUAUUUGAUGUUGUUUGACUGCCAGGGUGUAUGUAUGUCUAUAUAACUUAUUUGGGUGGCUUGAUUUUGCAGCAUGAUUGAGGGUAUGUUGUAUUGUGUUGUGAAUUAUAGUUUGAAAGUAUGUAUGAAACAAAGUUGUGAUUGGUGUAAGUGUAAAAUAUGGUUCAUGGACGUAAUUCUAUGAUCCUCAAGGAGAGGAUACAUGGUGGUGCCCUAGUAGUGUGUAGAAUGAUUGCAUGGCAGCUUAGUCUUGGGGGUUUUCGUGAAACUACAAUGAUCAAUCAUUCUCAAGUAGAGAGGAUUGAAUCAUGUGGUGAGUAGUAGAAGGAGGUCCUAGUCUUGAAGGCUCCCAGUAUGUUCCAGGGCGCGGAACGAACUAACCUCGUGAGUGUGGUAGGGUGGAUGAUGGAAGCUUGCCCAGGCCUAGAUCUUGCAGAAUACAAAUUCAAACAGCAGGCAAGUUGAUUGGCAGAGUGGUGCAGCGGACAUGAAUAAAGAUGCAGCGGAUGUAGGUGGAAUUUAGUGGAAUUGUAGUGUUUAGUGAUGUUGGGAAUGUGUGGAGUAUCCUCUCAGCUCAGAAGGCCUUCACCAUUGGAAGGAAGCUAGAGGAGAAGUUGGGAGAAGCACAGGGGUGACCUUCGAUGGGAGAAGACGCUGGAAAAUGCAUCAGCAAAUCGAUUCUCUCAUAUAUUCAAAGGUCUCUUUACAUGCUGAUACAAAGAGUAUUUAUAAUAAAACUCUUAAGCUAUGCACGGUGCUGAUUGAGGAGAAGAGAUGUAGAUCUUCAACCACGUGGCAGCAGUGUGGAACGUGUUUAGACCUUCCAGAAUUAGCAAGCGUGGCUUGGAAGAAGCAAGUGUAUCAGCAGAAUCACCUCAGCGUGGGAAUCAUGCAUCAACGUGGGAAGUCAUGUGUUUUCAUGAUGCAAUUCCUUCCUUACUAAGCUCACCCCCUCCCUUUGUGUAAAAUGACUUCUUUAUCCUUCUUCUUGGGUUGGUUUGGUCCAUGCUAAGUUAUCUAGUUGAUCCAUGAUCUCUUAGCUUUAUUAGACCUACAAAACACAUAUAAACAUAUUAAAGAGAAUCCUUCUAAGACUUAGAGAAAGAAAAUCAAGAAAGAGCUUUUAAAAGUCCUUCUUCACUUCCCUUUCUUAGCCUUAGCUUUAGUUGUUACUCCUUUGAAUGGAAUGCCCUCAAUGGGUUUCCAUCAGUUGAACCCAUUAGCAACGGCUUUGCAAAGCAGUAGAAGCCACCAUGAGUGCAUAACCCGCC